UACAGAGGUCUCAAGCGUUGUUCGGAUUCAUUGGGCGUAAAGGGUGCGUAGGUGGCGCCGUAAGUCAGGUGUGAAAUUUCGGAGCUUAACUCCGAAACUGCAUUUGAUACUGCGGUGCUUGAGGACUGGAGAGGAGAGCUGGAAGUUUACGGUGUAGCAGUGAAAUGCGUAGAGAUCGUAAGGAAGACCAGUGGCGAAGGCGGGUCCUCUGGACAGUUCCGUGACCAGCUGAGGCACGGAAGGCCAGGGGACGCAAACGGG
rnacentral:rRNA from 1 species